UACAGAGGUCCCGAGCGUUGUUCGGAUUCAUUGGGCGUAAAGGGUGCGUAGGCGGCAUGGCAAGUCGGGUGUGAAAUCCCGGGGCUCAACCCCGGAACUGCACUCGAUACUGCCGUGCUCGAGUGUUGGAGAGGAGACUGGAAUUUACGGUGUAGCAGUGAAAUGCGUAGAUAUCGUAAGGAAGACCGGUGGCGAAGGCUAGUCUCUGGACAACUACUGACGCUGAGGCACGAAGGCCAGGGGAGCAAACGGG
rnacentral:rRNA from 1 species